UUUAUGGAGAGUUUGAUCCUGGCUCAGGAUGAACGCUGGCGGCGUGCCUAAUACAUGCAAGUCGAGCGAACGGACGAGAAGCUUGCUUCUCUGAUGUUAGCGGCGGACGGGUGAGUAACACGUGGAUAACCUACCUAUAAGACUGGGAUAACUUCGGGAAAUCGGAGCUAAUACCGGAUAAUAUUUUGAA
rnacentral:rRNA from 1 species